GCCAGAAAAUUUAAAAAUCAGACCGACAGUGACUAUGAAAACCCAUCCGUCAGCCAGAAACACGGUAAAGAAAUUGAUCUUUGAGCAGCGGUGGAAUUCUAUGUCCCAAGUUUCACAAGACAGGAGGGUUACUUCCCAUUCCCAGCACUGAGUUUUUGGGUUUAAUUAUCGUUUCUUUCUACAACUUUUUAUCUAACUACUAUCCAUGUUUAAUACUACUAUGUUAUAUUUAUAGAUUAUAAACGUCGGAAAAAAUGAAAAAGCUAGAAGAGUGGCUAAAAGAAUACCAGUUUGAUGAUUUAGCUAAAAAUUGUAUUAAAAUGUCAAAUGAUCAAUGAUUUUACAUCAAAAAUUAGAAGAAUAUUGUUACUUAGAUAAAAUUUAAUUUUUGUAUUUAUUUUAUACUAUAUUGAUAUUUUGUUAAAAAUAUAUAAAUUAUUUAUAAUUACUAAAAGAAAGUUUUUACAGAAUCUGAAUAGGGUGUCUAAAAAGUUUAAGACGCCCUGCCCAAUAACAUUAGGUUACUUUUGUAAUCGUUUAAAAAGGUGAUAAAUCGAAAUUCUUCUUGGAAUGACUAGCUAACAACAUAUUGAUAGCUAAAAUGAUUGAUCUAUCACCAGUAACAAACAUAAUGGCUAAAUGACUUUGCAAUCACAUUAGGUUAUUUGGUUGGUCGGUCAUGUAUUUGCAUGACAUGGAUUUUUACAAGAGACAGAGACAACCCACACGUUUGUUCCUGAUUUUAAGACCUCAACACUUUAUUUCAUUCUGAUUUGUAUUUUUGUAUUGUAUAAAGACACAUUAUAACCACACAUACUUUAAUGGCUCGAUUCAUUAGCAUAUUAAAUAAUUAAUGUCUAACAAAUUGAUUUUUUUACUCUCUAACACACAUUAUGUCUUUUCAAUUACACAUUAAAACACUUGUUGCUGGAGGCACACUUUGUCUAUGUGCAUUGUCUUACAUGCCCCUCAACUACACUCUCUCCUAAUUCUAGUUCUCCUCUAACUAGUCAAUCUCACUCAACUCUAACCUAUUUAUAAAAUAAUAAUUUAUAAUUUCAUAAAUAAAUUUUUGAAUUUCAGAAAUUCACCUAUAUUCUCUCUCCUACUUUCAAAAUUCCAGAUCUAUUUUCCCUUUUCCUGAACAUUUCUAUGUCGUAACUCUAAUUUCACGAACGCCUUUAUAUCAAUCAAGAAGAGGCGGAAUGAAACUAGAACUGUAGCUUUUGAGACACAAGGAGAUAUCAAAGAAGAUGGAGUUUGCUAAAUCCUAAUCUCGAUUGAAACCCAAUCUCCCCUAUUUUUGAUACAGUUCGACGUAAUCGGCGAUACCUGUUUUACGGCGGUUGUCUCUUAGCCACCGCUGAACAACGCACUGCACACAUCCUUGUUUACGAGACCAACUGUUGCCCACAUACAAGUUUGUCGUAGGAAAAGAUUUGAGGAUUUAAAUGGCAGUAGAUUCAAUUGGGGGGUCGUCAUCUGGGAAGAGCUUAGCGCGGCUGACGGAGGAGAGUUACCACCUGCAACUCGCGCUGUCGUUACAAUUUUGGACAGAGGUUACUUGCGCCGACGAGUCUGCGACUUCACCAAGUUCAGACAAAACCUUUUCAUAUCGUUUCUGGGUACUGUUUUAAUUGCAUCUUAUUCCUUCAUGUUUAGCUUUAUGUUCACAAAUUUUUAAAAGUUCUGAAAAUCUAAUUGUCUAGUGUUUUUGUUUUCUUGGUUUAUUGAAAGCUCUGAAUCUGUUACAGUUAUAUUGUUCUCUUGUUUCCAAGUUUCAACUAGAUCAUACACGAUCAUUGUGGUAAACUAUCAGAUAAUAUCUUGGUGAGUUUACUUUACGA